GGUCUAUUUUCACGCAAAAGCCGACUGCAAUUUGCAGCCGUAUGUCAGUCAAUAUUUAUAAACUUGCUGUGAUCAGCUACCGUACUACAAGAAAAUAUGAAAAUAAAUAACUCUGAAUUGGUCACUACUAGUUAGACAACCAACAGUACCCUUGAUAACACAGCAUAAUUAUCAAACAGUAUUUUGGGUGGCAUAGUCACUAUCACAAGGGUCUGUCAUUGACACCGACGCGAAAGGUUUUACUUUUUGGUUGGAGGUCAGGAAGUCAAGUUCACGUGCCAGUGUGAGGAAAAUUUGGGGUUUUCCUUUGAACGCUUUGAAAGAAUAACGUGAAAAAUCAGAUAGUUGUGGAGUUGAUGUCUGGUGGGUUUUAAUUUUGUUUGUCGGUCAGCCGAUGUAGCGGACUUUUGCUGAGCGGAGGCAAGGGUUGGAAACGUAUUUUCUAUGCCGGUGUGCUAGGGAAAUUUUAUAUUUUCCCGGAUAAUCACAGCCCUCUUUGAGGUAAGUUAAGAUAGAUCUCGUUAUAAUUUAACCCUUUUCAUUUUCCUCAAUUCAAAGUUGAAUCUUACUUCUUUAUUUCUUUACUGUCACUUGUUAAUUGUUUUUGUGGUAGAAUUCGAACGUAAAAAGAGCGUGUAGUUUACCUAUACUGUCUUUCACUUUUUGUUGGUGUUAAGAACUUUAAAAUUUACAGUAACAACCGGUGGUUGAUGAUUUUGAAUAAUAAUAAAAUUCUGACUUAAUUAAUUAGGCCGGGUAGACAAAAAUCAAAAUUUGAAUAAGAAUGUUGUCGGCAAAUUAAAUUUUUGCUUAAAAUAUGAACUAUUUGUAGGGUGCAAGUGUGAGGUCCUAGGUAUACCUACCCAAAUAUAUUAGUCUUCGCAUGGCAUAGGGUUCUGCCUAAGGUGAAGUCACAAUGAUUAGAUACCAAGCUUAACAACUGAAGUUUGGCUAUGUAAGUAAGGGAAAGCAGAAAUCGAAAGGUAGGAGGAUUUUUUUUUUUUUACUUUGGAGUAUUGGAGUUUCAACGCAGAAAAUUCUACACAGUGAUUAUGUUAAUAUCGUGCGGUUAAGUGGACUGAAACAUUAUCACUUUUCGUUAAUUUUAAUGUUGUUCAUACUUUAAUAACAUUUUCUAUUUUGUUUUUCCUUUUCUUUUUUUUAUAUAUAAAUUCUAAUAUCAAUGUGAGCCUAUAUAGAUCUAUAAGGAGCUUAAUAUCGUAACAUGUAUGAAAACAACCUUGGUUACAUUUAAAUAUUUAAUAAUAUUAACUUAAAUAAUUAUGUAUUAUAAAAUGUUUUUUUCAUGA